ACGGGUAGCCGGCCUGAGAGGGUGACCGGCCACACUGGGACUGAGACACGGCCCAGACUCCUACGGGAGGCAGCAGUGGGGAAUAUUGCACAAUGGGCGGAAGCCUGAUGCAGCAACGCCGCGUGAGGGAUGACGGCCUUCGGGUUGUAAACCUCUUUUAGCAGGGAAGAAGCGAAAGUGACGGUACCUGCAGAAAAAGCGCCGGCUAACUACGUGCCAGCAGCCGCGGUAAUACGUAGGGCGCAAGCGUUAUCCGGAAUUAUUGGGCGUAAAGAGCUCGUAGGCGGUUUGUCGCGUCUGCUGUGAAAUCCCGAGGCUCAACCUCGGGCCUGCAGUGGGUACGGGCAGACUAGAGUGCGGUAGGGGAGAUUGGAAUUCCUGGUGUAGCGGUGGAAUGCGCAGAUAUCAGGAGGAACACCGAUGGCGAAGGCAGAUCUCUGGGCCGUAACUGACGCUGAGGAGCGAAAGGGUGGGGAGCAA
rnacentral:rRNA from 1 species